GACGAACGCUGGCGGCGUGCUUAACACAUGCAAGUCGAACGGAAAGGCCCUGCUUUUGUGGGGUGCUCGAGUGGCGAACGGGUGAGUAACACGUGAGUAACCUGCCCUUGACUUUGGGAUAACUUCAGGAAACUGGGGCUAAUACCGGAUAGGAGCUCCUGCUGCAUGGUGGGGGUUGGAAAGUUUCGGCGGUUGGGGAUGGACUCGCGGCUUAUCAGCUUGUUGGUGGGGUAGUGGCUUACCAAGGCUUUGACGGGUAGCCGGCCUGAGAGGGUGACCGGCCACAUUGGGACUGAGAUACGGCCCAGACUCCUACGGGAGGCAGCAGUGGGGAAUAUUGCACAAUGGGCGGAAGCCUGAUGCAGCAACGCCGCGUGCGGGAUGACGGCCUUCGGGUUGUAAACCGCUUUCGCCUGUGACGAAGCGUGAGUGUCGGUAAUGGGUAAAGAAGCACCGGCUAACUACGUGCCAGCAGCCGCGGUGAUACGUAGGGUGCGAGCGUUGUCCGGAUUUAUUGGGCGUAAAGGGCUCGUAGGUGGUUGAUCGCGUCGGAAGUGUAAUCUUGGGGCUUAACCCUGAGCGUGCUUUCGAUACGGGUUGACUUGAGGAAGGUAGGGGAGAAUGGAAUUCCUGGUGGAGCGGUGGAAUGCGCAGAUAUCAGGAGGAACACCAGUGGCGAAGGCGGUUCUCUGGGCCUUUCCUGACGCUGAGGAGCGAAAGCGUGGGGAGCGAACAGGCUUAGAUACCCUGGUAGUCCACGCUGUAAACGGUGGGUACUAGGUGUGGGGUCCAUUCCACGGGUUCCGUGCCGUAGCUAACGCUUUAAGUACCCCGCCUGGGGAGUACGGCCGCAAGGCCAAAACUCAAAGGAAUUGACGGGGCCCCGCACAAGCGGCGGAGCAUGCGGAUUAAUUCGAUGCAACGCGUAGAACCUUACCUGGGUUUGACAUGGAUCGGGAGCGCUCAGAGAUGGGUGUGCCUCUUUUGGGGUCGGUUCACAGGUGGUGCAUGGCUGUCGUCAGCUCGUGUCGUGAGAUGUUGGGUUAAGUCCCGCAACGAGCGCAACCCUUGUUCACUGUUGCCAGCACGUUAUGGUGGGGACUCAGUGGAGACCGCCGGGGUCAACUCGGAGGAAGGUGGGGAUGACGUCAAGUCAUCAUGCCCCUUAUGUCCAGGGCUUCACGCAUGCUACAAUGGCUGGUACAGAGAGUGGCGAGCCUGUGAGGGUGAGCGAAUCUCGGAAAGCCGGUCUCAGUUCGGAUUGGGGUCUGCAACUCGACCUCAUGAAGUCGGAGUCGCUAGUAAUCGCAGAUCAGCAACGCUGCGGUGAAUACGUUCCCGGGGCU
rnacentral:rRNA from 1 species